rnacentral:misc_RNA from 1 species
UCUCCGUAGGUGAACCUGCGGAGGGAUCAUUACAGAGUUCAUGCCCUUACGGGUAUAUCUCCCACCCUGUGUUAUUAUUACCUUUGUUGCUUUGGCGGGCCGUCCGGCUUCGGCCAGGCUACCGUCUCCGGCUGGUAAGCGCCCGCCAGAGGACCUAAAACCCUUAACGGUAGUUUCGGCUUAGUACGAUAGAAUAGUUAAAACUUUCAACAACGGAUCUCUUGGUUCUGGCAUCGAUGAAGAACGCACCAGACCGGAAAAACACACGUCGGAAGUCCA